rnacentral:rRNA from 1 species
CCCUUAGAUGUUCUGGGCUGCACGCGCGCUACACUGACGCACGCAACAGGUGCCUGCUCCGAGAGGACUGGGUAAUCAUUUGAGUGUGCGUCGUGAUGGGGAUAGAAUAUUGUAAUUAUUACUCUUCAACGAGGAAUUCCUAGUAAGCGCGGGUCAUCAUCCCGCGCUGAAUACGUCCCUGCCCUUUGUACACACCGCCCGUCGCUCCUACCGAUUGAGUGGUCCGGUGAGGCUUUGGGAUCUGAGCGGAAAGAGCGUUUCGCUGUUUCUGCUCGGAAAACUCAGUCGAACCUUAUCAUUUAGAGGAAGGAGAAGUCGUAACA